CAAAUUCGUUUCUGCAGGUAUA
rnacentral:miRNA from 16 species